ACGCNUGGCGGCGUGGAUUAGGCAUGCAAAGCUCGAACGAGAAAGCGGUUUUUAAUCGUGAGUAAAGUGGCGAAUGGGUGAGUAACGCGUGGGAAACCUGCCCUUGAGUGUGGAAUAACAUUUCUAACGAGAUGCUAAUACCGCAUAAUAUUACAGAUCGCAUGUUCUGUAAUCAAAGGAGGCCUCUAUUUAUAAGCUAUCGCUUAAGGAUGGUCCCGCGUCCAAUUAGCUAGUUGGUAGGGUAACGGCCUACCAAGGCGACGAUUGGUAGCCGGCCUGAGAGGGUGUCCGGCCACACUGGGACUGAGACACGGCCCAGACUCCUACGGGAGGCAGCAGUCGAGAAGCUUCGGCAAUGGGGGAAACCCUGACCGAGCGACGCCGCGUGGGUGAUGAAGUCCUUCGGGAUGUAAAGCCCUGUCAUACGGGAUGAAAAAUCAAUUGGUUAAUCGCCUUUUGAUCUGACAGUACUGUAAGAGGAAGCUCCGGCUAACUCCGUGCCAGCAGCCGCGGUAAUACGAAGGGC
rnacentral:rRNA from 1 species